AGCGAACGCUGGCGGCAGGCUUAACACAUGCAAGUCGAGCGGGCAUCCUUGUGGUGUCAGCGGCAGACGGGUGAGUAACGCGUGGGAACGUGCCCUUCGGUUCGGAAUAACUCAGGGAAACUUGAGCUAAUACCGGAUACGUGCGAGAGCAGAAAGGUUUAUCUGCCGAAGGAUCGGCCCGCGUCUGAUUAGCUAGUUGGUGAGGUUAUGGCUCACCAAGGCGACGAUCAGUAGCUGGUCUGAGAGGAUGAUCAGCCACACUGGGACUGAGACACGGCCCAGACUCCUACGGGGGGCAGCAGGGGGGAAUAUGGGACAAGGGGGGCAACCCUGACCCACCCCGGCCGGGGGGGUGAUGACGGCCUUGGGGUUGAAAAGCUCUUUUCCCCGGGAGGAAAAGGACGGUACCGGAGGAAUAACCCCCGGCAAACUCCGG
rnacentral:rRNA from 1 species